rnacentral:rRNA from 1 species
CCUACGGGAGACAGCAGUGGGGAAUAUUGCGCAAUGGGCGCAAGCCUGACGCAGCGACGCCGCGUGAGGGAUGAAGGUCUUCGGAUCGUAAACCUCUGUCAGCAGGGAAGAACGGUCACUGUGCUAAUCAGCAGUGACUUGACGGUACCUGCAAAGGAAGCACCGGCUAACUCCGUGCCAGCAGCCGCGGUAAUACGGAGGGUGCGAGCGUUAAUCGGAAUUACUGGGCGUAAAGCGCUCGUAGGCGGUAUGUCAAGUCAAGGGUGAAAUCCCCGGGCUCAACGUGGGAACUGCCUGUGAAACUGGCAAACUGGAGUGUGUGAGAGGAUAGUGGAAUUCCAGGUGGAGGAGGGGAAUCCGUAGAUAUCUGGAGGAACAUCAGUGGCGAAGGCGACUAUCUGGCACAUAACUGACGCUGAGGAGCGAAAGCAUGGGUAGCAAACAGGAUUAGAUACCCGUGUAGUC